AGGUCCCACCCACCCUAUUAAUCACACUCAUGCCUGCCCCUGCACACCAGUCUCACACACUAGCAUCUACCUUCCCCUCCAGGAUCAUCUGUUUCCGCUUGUUGAUCUCCUUCUUUUCAUCAAAAUGCGAAGCCUCCAGUUUCUGGGGUGGGAAGGGGGGCAUGUCAGGUCAGGCCCAGCACAGGGAGCCUUGCCCCACCCCACAGGCUGGCCCACACAUACGAUUUCACACUCCCUGCGCACCACGUUGACCUGUGUGAGGAUCUGCAGGACCUGGGCCUCCUCCACUGCCAAUUCAGCCAGCUGCUGUUCUGCAGGGACAGGAACCUGGGUUAGGCUGGGGUGCAGCUGGCCCUCCUUGCCCCCCUAGCUCUGGAGGUCUGGAUCCAGCCACAUGUGGACUAUGCUGCCAAGCCUGGUAGCACAUGCUCGUCAUCACAGCCCUGGGAGGUGGAGGCAGGAGAUCCCUCCUUUCAGCUGUGUUCCAGGCCAGCUCUGUAGAGCAAUUACCCUCUGUCUCGAAUGAAUGAAUGAAUAAACAAAUGAAC
rnacentral:lncRNA from 1 species